UACGAAGGGUGCAAGCGUUAAUCGGAAUUACUGGGCGUAAAGGGUGCGUAGGCGGUUGUUUAAGUCUGUCGUGAAAUCCCCGGGCUCAACCUGGGAAUGGCGAUGGAUACUGGCAGGCUAGAGUGCGGUAGAGGGUAGUGGAAUUCCCGGUGUAGCAGUGAAAUGCGUAGAGAUCGGGAGGAACACCAGUGGCGAAGGCGACUACCUGGACCAGCACUGACACUGAGGCACGAAAGCGUGGGGAGCAAACAGG
rnacentral:rRNA from 1 species